GACGAACGCUGGCGGCGUGCUUAACACAUGCAAGUCGAACGGAAAGGCCCUGCUUUUGUGGGGUGCUCGCGUGGCGAACGGGUGAGUAACACGUGAGUAACCUGCCCUUGACUUUGGGAUGACUUCAGGAAACUGGGGAUAAUACAGGCUAGGAGCUCCAGAUGCAUGGGGGGGGUUGGAAAGUUUCGGAGGAUUGGGAUGGACUCGCGGCUUAUCAGCUUGUUGGGGGGGUAGUGGCUUAGCAACGGUUUGGCGGGUAGUCGGCCUGAGAGGGUGACCGGCCUCAUUGCGACUGCGAUACGGCCCAGACUCCUACAGGAGGCAGCAGUGGGGAAUAUUGCACAAUGGGCGGAAGCCUGUUGCAGCAACGCCGCGUGCGGGAUGACGGCCUUCUGGUUGUAAACCGCUUUCGCCUGUGACGAAGCGUUAUUGACGGUAAUGGGUAAAGAAGCACCGGCUAACUACGUG
rnacentral:rRNA from 1 species